GAUGAACGCUGGCGGCGUGCCUAAUACAUGCAAGUCGAGCGAACGGACGAGAAGCUUGCUUCUCUGAUGUUAGCGGCGGACGGGUGAGUAACACGUGGAUAACCUACCUAUAAGACUGGGAUAACUUCGGGAAACCGGAGCUAAUACCGGAUAAUAUUUUGAACCGCAUGGUUCAAAAGUGAAAGACGGUCUUGCUGUCACUUAUAGAUGGAUCCGCGCUGCAUUAGCUAGUUGGUAAGGUAACGGCUUACCAAGGCAACGAUGCAUAGCCGACCUGAGAGGGGAAUGGGCCCCACAGGACCUGAGCACGGGCCCGAACCCCUAGGGGGGGCAGCAGUGGGAAAUCUUCCGCAAUGGGCGAAACCUGGACGGGGCAAGCCCGGGGAGGUGAAAAGGGCUUUGGGAUCGAAAAACCUUGUUUUAGGGGAAAAAAAAAUUUGUAAGAAAUGUGGCCAACCUUGGCGGUCCCAAAUCAAAAAGCCACGCCUAACCCCGU
rnacentral:rRNA from 1 species